rnacentral:rRNA from 1 species
UACGUAGGGUGCAAGCGUUAAUCGGAAUUACUGGGCGUAAAGCGCACGUAGGCGGACAUUUAAGUCAGGGGUGAAAUCCCAGAGCUCAACUCUGGAACUGCCUUUGAUACUGGGUGUCUUGAGUAUGGAAGAGGUGAGUGGAAUUCCGAGUGUAGAGGUGAAAUUCGUAGAUAUUCGGAGGAACACCAGUGGCGAAGGCGGCUCACUGGUCCAUUACUGACGCUGAGGUGCGAAAGCGUGGGGAGCAAACAGG